AUCCUUUUCUGGUUCAUAAGCAUGAUGAUUGGGUGUUCACGCGGCUGUGUGAGGUGUGUCUCCCUUAAACCUUGUUACCACAUUGGCACAUUACCCUUCCGACA